CUCUUGUCAAAGUAGCAUACAGUUCUAUGCCAGUGAACUUCUUCCAAGUAGGUCUGACUCCCGCCCCUCUCCCCAGCAGAACCUGGACUUCUGUCCCCGAGGAUUAGUCUACUUGCCCAUCCCUUGCUAUCAAAAGACAUACAAGAAAGGAGGAAGAAGGCUUUCCAAACUCCAGUCCCAACUGUGAAAUCAUUGCAGACUCUUACCUUCGCAAGUUGGCAAGUAAGCAGGAGAAAGAAGGGCCUCUCCAGGCUCUCCCAGCCUCCUCUCUACCAUGGCUCUAUUUCCACUCAGUGUGGCAGCCACUUAGGAGGAGUCAUAUGUCACGGAGCACAUAUCGAAAGGCCAGAACAAGCUUUCCUCUUUUGAGAAGCUGCACGAAUCUGGAUUAUGUGAAGGAAAUGAUCCAGACUGAAGGUCCCAAAGUUCACAAAGGUCGCUGUUGGAGUCUUGGUUAAAAAAGAAGCUUCUUAUUCCUUCCUUCAAUGACCACAAAGAUUAAGAGCAAGUGCCUGAGUCAGACUCACUUGUGCCAGGAGGAGACAUCUGAUGGACAUCAAGACUGGCUGAGAAUGGGGUUCUAAUGACCUCAGGGAGCACGGACCUCAUUCAGAGCAUCGAGACUGCUUUGGAGACAAUUUCAAUUCUAUGUUUCCUAUCACUGUCAUAGGCAGCCUGGUAUUACCUAUACAUUUACAUCUUCAGGGCCUCAAACAUAGCAAGGCUUGGAGCCCAUUUCCCAUUCAGCUCUCGCUUGCUACCCGCCAAGGAAUGUGCUUUCAAUACACACAGCCCAGAAGGCUCAGCGCGAAAACAAACACAAUUUCAGAGUUCUCCAAACACUGUUUCAGAGUCAGAACAAGCCUUUGUAGAAUACAUAAAGACAGGAAUAUCUCUGAGAAGCAACCAGAAGAAGGCAUGAAAAACUGAAGAGGUUUCACAACUCAAGUAGGUUUAUAGUCACCCUGGGGGCAGAGGGCACAGAAAAAAGCCCUUUUGUCCCUCAGGGAGGGCACAAGGGAACAACACGGAUUCACAUGCCUAUGUGCAUACAACUUACAUGUGUACACACAUACAUACACACCGAUCUCAAAUUUCCCCAUCCCUCCCCAACUGUACUCUCUGCGGACCUACAAGGUGAAGGCCAAUCAUACCCUAAGUUGAUUAAAGUGAGCAUCUGAGCAGGAAUCCUAUCCUCACCUACAAAUGGUCCAGAGUAGCUAUCACGGCCUCCUGUGGUGUGUGGGGUGAGACCCAGGAUACAUAGGCCUUUGUAUCAGUGAUUCAUGCAACAAGUAAUCCCACAAUUUAACUGCCCAAAAUAAGCAUUUAUCAUUUCCUAUGGUUUCUGAUCAUAUAUACAGUAACCCUGAAACAACUGGGUGCUUCUGCCUCAGGGGGUGUCACCAAGGUUGCAGACAAAACGUUGGCAGUUGUCUCAAGGCUUGACUAGGGCUGGGAUCCACUUCCAAGAUGACCCACUUAAUAGCUGUUGACUGGAGACCUUAGUUCUUUGCCUCAUGGAGCUCCUCAUGGGGCUGCUUGAGUGUACUCACGAUAUGUCAGCUGGCUUCCCCCAGGUUAUAUGAUCAAAAAAGAGCAAGACAGAAGUCACAAUGUCCUUUAUGAUCUAGCCCCAGAUGUCACACAUUAUUUCCACAGUAUCCUAUUGGUUUACCCAAGUCUGCCCUAGUCAUUGUGGGAGGGAAAUUCACUAGGAUACGCAUUCCAGGAGGACUGUGUCACUGGGGGCCUUCAUGGACACUGAAGUUCCCACAGCUUUAGAACUGUGCUCUGCCUGGUUCCUCGUGUCUCAUCAGUUCUUGCUGGUUCCUUGGCCGGCCUCCUAGUUCUUCUACUUGAUAAACCUCAAACUGCCAACUGAACUGUGAUCACUGGUGACUUCAAAUACUUGUCUAUUGUUUGGAACAUUUACAGUAAGAAUAUGUUUUAUAAUUUAAAAUGUUUUCAAACUAACAUACUGCCAAGUUGAUCAAGUUUCCCAAAUUUUUAUGGUCUUUCCAUUGUUUAUCAUUACUAAGAAAUUUAAGGCUAUAAUUUUCUGGAUUUCUUACCAACUCAAAAAAGAUUUGUGGUAUAUAUGCAAUUAUUCAGAGGCACUCAAUUUCUCCAUUGUAAUUGAACUUAACUACUUGGUGACCACAAUUGUAGUCAGUGCUCACAUGAAUAUAUCUUAAGAACAUAGUUACAAUUUCUUAGUUGCACCAACCUAUCAUUACAAAAAGGUCAUAUUUCAUUAAAUACUUAAGAGUAUUAGUUGGUUACAAGUACUAGAAAAUCUAAUGAAAAGUGACUUAACCAAUAAGCAGAUUUUAUUCUCUCACAGCUCAUGAAGCUCCCACAUCUGUUACACAUCUGUGGGAAUCACUAGCUCUACAGCGCCACCAACAGCUCAUGUCCUUUCCAUAUUCUGCUUUAUCACUCUUAGCAUGUGGGUAACACCCUCUCAUAGUUGCAAAACGGACUCUGUCAACUCUUUGGUAUCACAUCCCCUCACAGCCACAUCCAAAGCAGGAAAAUAACCUCUUUAUCGUCUGCUUCUCCCUUUUAAGAACGAAGAAACCUUUCCACACAAGUGAUCCAGAAAACUUCCCUUUGUCUCUCAUUGGCCAGAAUUAUAUCACAUGUCCAUAUUUUUCAAAUCAGCAAGAGGGAUGGAAUUAUCAUGAUGGACUUAUUCACCCCUAACCCUGGGGUCUGGGGGUGGGGUAGGUGGGAAACAGCCUCCCCUGAAGAUGGUCACUCAAUACUUGAACGAAUGGUAGUGCUGUUAACAAGGAAAAGGAGUGUUGAGUCAAUGGUUUGAGCGUUCAUCAACCAGUUGAUACUGCCAGACAUCAACCUCUUCUUCCUAACCCCCAUAGAGACUCAGCUAUUUCUGAGAGGUCCCACAGGAUGCUAUCUCAAGAAAGCCUGGAAAGAAAAAAAUGAUGACAAAAUCAUCUCCGCAAAAGAAGUACUCUUGUGCCUUCCAGUUCUCCCCAGAACUCAUACCUAACCUCCACAAUGAAGUGAAAUUGCAGAAGUUUCCUCUUCUCAAUCUAAGGUGUGCUUCUUGAGUCUCCUCUUCCUAGCUCAGAGUUGCCUUCUUCCCAGGAUGACUGAUAGUGAGGAAAUAUCACUUGCACCCACCCACAUGGCAUGACAUGAAGCCUGAUCGUAUGGCUCUCAUUACAAAUACAUCAGGAAAUGAUAAAUCAAUACUAGUAAAGUCAGGGUUAUUCAGCUUGGAAGACCAUCAGGUGCAGGACAGCAACAGUACAGCAGGUAUGACUUAGGCCAAGACCAAGUUCAGGUCAUUUUUGAAGUCUAUUCACAAGUAUGACAUGAAGUUCAGGGCUGCAUAUCUUGCCUGUCAUUUUGUAAUCUCUGGCUCCAAAAUGUGUGAGCAACUGUUUAAGAGCACACACUUAAGAAUAAGCAAUAAUAGAAUGCAGAGGGUAGCAAACUUUUUCUAGUGAAAGGCCAGAUAGUUAAUAUUUAGGCUUUGAGAGCCAUACACUAUCUGUCACGCUACUCGCUCUUGUAGCAGGAAGGCAGCUAUAGGCAAUAUGCAAACAAAAGAGUGUGACUGUGUUCCAAUAAAACUUUAUUUACAAAACA
rnacentral:lncRNA from 1 species